GAAGACUGCUGCUUUUU
rnacentral:sRNA from 1 species